UGGGGAAUAUUGCACAAUGGGGGAAACCCUGAUGCAGCGACGCCGCGUGGAGGAAGAAGGUCUUCGGAUUGUAAACUCCUGUUGUUGGGGAAGAUAAUGACGGUACCCAACAAGGAAGUGACGGCUAACUACGUGCCAGCAGCCGCGGUAAAACGUAGGUCACAAGCGUUGUCCGGAAUUACUGGGUGUAAAGGGAGCGCAGGCGGGAAGACAAGUUGGAAGUGAAAUCUAUGGGCUCAACCCAUAAACUGCUUUCAAAACUGUUUUUCUUGAGUAGUGCAGAGGUAGGCGGAAUUCCCGGUGUAGCGGUGGAAUGCGUAGAUAUCGGGAGGAACACCAGUGGCGAAGGCGGCCUACUGGGCACCAACUGACGCUGAGGCUCGAAAGUGUGGGUAGCAAACAG
rnacentral:rRNA from 1 species